rnacentral:sRNA from 1 species
GCUGGGCGUGGUGGUGCAUGCCUGUAAUCCCAGCGGCUGGGGAUGCUGAGAUAGGAGGAUAGUGAGUUCAAAGCCAGCCUCAGCAACAGUGAGGUACCAAGCAACUCAGUGAGACCCUGUCUCUA